rnacentral:rRNA from 1 species
UGGGGAAUAUUGCACAAUGGGCGAAAGCCUGAUGCAGCGACGCCGCGUGAGGGAUGACGGCCUUCGGGUUGUAAACCUCUUUCAGCAGGGACGAAGCGCAAGUGACGGUACCUGCAGAAGAAGCACCGGCUAACUACGUGCCAGCAGCCGCGGUAAUACGUAGGCAGCGAACGUUGUUCGGAGUUACUGGGCGUAAAGAGUGCGUAGGCGGUUCGCUAAGUCUGGUGUGAAAUCUCCCGGCUUAACUGGGAGGGUGCGCUAGAUACUGGCAGGCUUGAGUAUGGGAGAGGAAAGCGGAAUUCCUGGUGUAGCGGUGAAAUGCGCAGAUAUUAGGAAGAACACCGGUGGCGAAGGCGGCUCUCUGGAACGAUACUGACACUGAGACGCGAAAGCGUGGGUAGCGAACAGGAUUAGAUACCCACGUAGUCCCUGAGCGGGCUGGCAAGGCGCAU